rnacentral:rRNA from 1 species
CCUACGGGAGGCUGCAGUGGGGGAUAUUGCACAAUGGGGGGAACCCUGAUGCCGCGACGCCGCGUGGGUGAAGAAGCGCCUCGGCGCGUACAGCCCUGUCAGCAGGGACGAAAAUGACGGUACCUGAAGAAGAAGCCCCGGCUAACUACGUGCCAGAAGCCGCGGUAAUACGUAGGGGGCAAGCGUUAUCCGGAUUUACUGGGUGGAAAGGGGGCGCAGCCGGCGAUGCAAGCCAGGAGUGAAAGCCCGGGGCCCAACCCCGGGAAUGCUCUUGGAACUGCGUGGCUGGAGUGCAGGAGGGGCAGGCGUAAUUCCUGGUGUAGCGGUGAAAUGCGUAGAUAUCAGGAGGAACACCGGUGGCGAAGGCGGCCUGCUGGACUGCAACUGACGUUGAGGCCCGAAAGCGUGGGGAGCAAACAGGAUUAGAUACCCUAGUAGUC